rnacentral:rRNA from 1 species
GAAAACGGAGAGUGAACAGGCAAGAGCUCAAGUUUGAAAGGCACUUUUGUGCCGUUGUAUUCUGAAGUUAGGGUCCUGAGAAACGAUGCUUAAGUCUUCUGGAAAGGAGCGCCAUGGAGGGUGAUAGCCCCGUCUAGCAUUGACCUCAUAUAGGAUCUUAACAUGGAGUCGAGUUGUUUGGGAAUGCAGCUCAAAUGGGUGGUAUGCUCCAUCUAAAGCUAAAUAUCUGCGAGAGACCGAUAGUAAACAAGUACUGUGAGGGAAAGAUGAAAAGAACUUUGAAAAGAGAGUGAAAAAGUACGUGAAAUUGUUGAAAUGGAAGGGUAGGCCGCUAACCAUGUAGAGCCGUGUUUGGGGGGAAGAUAAAUGCUGUAGAAUGUACCUCCUCGGAGUAUUAUAGAUGCAGUUCAUAUUCCCACCCGAGCGCGAGGAUCUCAGGUUCUACUAAA